UCAACAAUAGGAGAUCAUAGCAAGUAAAUUCGAAGUCAUCCAUUGAAGGCAAAUCAUAAUUGAGUUCUUGCUUACAGUUAAAGGUUGUUUUUCACUGCAGAGUAUUAUUAGAGAAUGCAUUUAUAUACGGUAAACUUUGAUUACUCAUCUGUUGUUUAUAUAUAUUGCUAGGCCGGGUUGAGAUUACCUCACAUUUUUUCCAACGGGCUUGCAGGAUGUUGUUGAAUGUUAAAGAAAUAUUUAAUGAUUAAGUUAUUCGCGUCAAUUUAAAAAAAAUAUACUAUUUCAAAAGAAAUAAUUCUUUGUGUUGCUAAACAUUCUACGCCAGGAACAUAUGAUAAAUUUCAUAAAUGUUCACAUAACUAUUAAAUAUUUUCACCAAAGUCUCUUAACUAUGUUUUUUAACACAACUUUACCCUUUCUAACACAAAAGUUACGUAUGCAGAAAAAUCUAACUUUCAAUAUAUGUGAUUGUUGUGUUAAUAAGGAAGUAUUAUAUUAGAAAACAUAAUUAAGUGACUUUAGUGAAAAAAAUCAUAAUUAUGUGACCAUCUAUGAUACUUAUCCUAGCAACAUAUAUAGCCCAUUAUUUUAACUUGUUAAUAUUUCAUUUUUGAAUCUUACGGUCUUAAUUUUAAUGCUUCUUUCAAUUCUGCAACAACUUUUUCAUCACCUGAUUUCUGAAAGUAUGUCAUCAUAAUAUAAAUUUCUCAAUUUUCAAAUAAGGGAAAAAUGAAAGACAAUCACCACAAAUCUAUAAUCGUAAGUAUGGUGACUUUAAUUAUUUGGGAAUCUUUCAUAAAUAGCUGCAUUUUGCUAGAAAAUUCACCUUCCAUAGCCACAUUUUACAUAAUUACCAUUUAUAUCCGAUGUAUUUGAUUUAUGCCCGUUGAAUUCGAUUUUACAGAUAGUAUGUAUUCAUAUAAAAUACGAAUACAGUCCCUAUUUAGUCGCGCAAAAAAUGAAAUUUAAUAUUUAAAAACAAAUUCCAAUCAAGCUUAUCUCGUUGAACUGAAUGUUUUCUUGUCUAAUACUACCA
rnacentral:lncRNA from 1 species